CAGUGAAUAUUGCCCUGGGUCCUGGUAAUUCCACCUACUGAAGACAACUGCCCCUUCUGCUCAUAUUUCCUGAGUCAACAUGGCCGUUCCUAACUUUGAAGAGACUUUAGACAUUCUUUGUUACAAUGAACCUAGAAGAAAGAAGAGAAAUGAAAUAGAGAGGGGAAAUAAAAACUAUUUAUUUUACUAAACCAGCCAUCCCCCUGCAGAUUACAGCGACUGUGCCCGGGACUGUAAGGCGGAUAAGACCCAGCAGAAUAACUGCCAUGGAAGGAUGCUCCUCCUGCCAAUUGGCACUUAUCAAUGACAUCGAGGGAGAGGGACAGAGUGCCUAGGUAUGAGCCUUCAUCAAGUGGUAUGAAGGCCCUACCCCAACAGAAAGUGCUGAUGUGAUGAAAUGGUGCUUUGGACAAGACUUUUCCUCCAAGUUGGUCCUAUCCAGGGGUUGGCAAACAGGGUCCCUGGACAUCAUCCAUGUGGCAUACUCUUAUGAAUAAAGUUCUAUAGGACACAG
ensembl:lincRNA Pantr1 POU domain, class 3, transcription factor 3 adjacent noncoding transcript 1